UGCCAGCAGCCGCGGUAAUACGAAGGUCCCGAGCGUUGUUCGGAUUUACUGGGCGUAAAGAGUCUGUAGGCUGUAAAGUAAGUCAGGUGUGAAAUCCCGGGGCUCAACCCCGGAACUGCACCCGAUACUGCUUUACUGGAGUAUUGGAGGGGAAUCUGGAAUUCUCGGUGUAGCAGUGAAAUGCGUAGAUAUCGAGAGGAACACUAGUGGCGAAGGCGAGAUUCUGGACAAUUACUGACGCUGAGAGACGAAGGCCAGGGUAACGAAAAGGAUUAGAUA
rnacentral:rRNA from 1 species